GCCCGCUGCGAGCCGCGUCGGCGAACCGCGAGCCGCGGACCCUAAAAGUGAAAGCGGAAUCGGUCUCCAUCAGUCGUGGUCGAUAUCGACAAGUGCAAGAAAGAAGCUUGAGAGAAAAAUAAGGAUUAAGCAAACGGACGGAGAGAUUUCUGCUAGAAGACAAAGCAGAUGAAAAUUAAAAAAUGUUGAUGUAACAGCUACUGCAGGAACAAAAAAAAGCAAACAAAUUGCAAGAAAAGCAGCAAUUUAUACUGCAGCAGUUGUUGCAAAAUCAGCAGAAGCAGCAGCAGCAGAAAAAGCAGCAGCAAAAGCAGCAGCAGCAAAAGCAGCAGCAGCAGCAAUUACAAGAACAACCACAGCAAUUUAAAAAUGAUCGAAGAGGCUGAGGUCGCGGGAAUUCGCGGGGUCGGUGAUAUCAACGCCACCAACUUAAUUAUAAUACAAAUGAAAGCGGAAGAGGAAGAGAAGGAAGAGGGGGAAAAGGAGGAAGAGGAAGAAGCCCUACAAUAAUAAAAAAUUAUUAUAUAGUGUUACAUCCGCCUUCUGUUUGUUCGUCCCUGCGUGUCACCUGUGCUGGUGUGCUGUACCGUCUUCGGGAGAUUUCUUGACGUGUCGCUAAGGAAGAUGUUUAUAACAACGGCUAACAUUUGGAUGUUUUAAGUCGCCAUCUUAGUCUCGCGGCGGAUUCGUUUCCGUGCGGACGUUUCCGCGAUUGAUCCCGUUCUCCUUUUGUAUCGAAUUUAUUUGUUCUGUGUUCUGUUCUUAUAUUAAAGUUCCUUCUGUUUUUUACAAUAAGUGUUGUUAUUUACGACGCGGAGCGUGUGUGCGAAUUGUGACGUGCGCGAUUCGAUAAAACUUGAAGUGGACGAGCGGACCCAAUAAUAUAUUAAAAAUUAUAGGUUAUAAAUUUAUUAGAUUAAUAUAACAUAAGAUAUAUUUAUUUUUAAUUUUUAUAUUUUUAUAUUUUUAUUUUUAUAUUUUUAUAUUUGUAUUUUUAUAUUUUUUAUUUUUAUUUUUAUAUUUUUAUAUUUUUAUUUUUAUAUUUUAAUUUUUAUUUUUAUGCAUUAUAUAUACACGCUUUUAUAUUUUAUUUUUUAUUUUCAUAUUUUUAUAUUUUUUAUUUUUUUAUUCUUACACAUUAUAUAUAUUAUAUACAUAUAUAAAGAUUGUCCCAUUUUAAAAGUUCCACCCUCAUAACUUUUCAGGAUCAACGUUUGAAGGAAAACGACUUGGAUAAAAGUUGUAGGGAACAAAGGGGGCUAUCUAAUAGUGACCUUGGAUUUGACAUUAAAGAUCAUUUUCAAGGUUAUUUGAACGUCAACUUCCGUUUUUUAAAUGGAAACCCAUCAUUUUUAUUGCAUAUUCUUGUAACUUAUCUCGAGAGCUUUCCAA